GCUACCUGCAGUCGACGGUAGCACAGAGAGCUUGCUCUCGGGUGACGAGUGGCGGACGGGUGAGUAAUGUCUGGGAAACUGCCUGAUGGAGGGGGAUAACUACUGGAAACGGUAGCUAAUACCGCAUAACGUCNCAAGACCAAAGAGGGGGACCUUCNGGCCUCUUGCCAUCAGAUGUGCCCAGAUGGGAUUAGCUAGUAGGUGGGGUAACGGCUCACCUAGGCGACGAUCCCUAGCUGGUCUGAGAGGAUGACCAGCCACACUGGAACUGAGACACGGUCCAGACUCCUACGGGAGGCAGCAGUGGGGAAUAUUGCACAAUGAGCGCAAGCCUGAUGCAGCCAUGCCGCGUGUAUGAAGAAGGCCUUCGGGUUGUAAAGUACUUUCAGCGGGGAGGAAGGUGUUGUGGUUAAUAACCGCAGCAAUUGACGUUACCCGCAGAAGAAGCACCGGCUAACUCCGUGCCAGCAGCCGCGGUAAUACGGAGGGUGCAAGCGUUAAUCGGAAUUACUGGGCGUAAAGCGCACGCAGGCGGUCUGUCAAGUCGGAUGUGAAAUCCCCGGGCUCAACCUGGGAACUGCAUUCUAAACUGGCAGGCUAGAGUCUUGUAGAGGGGGGUAGAAUUCCAGGUGUAGCGGUGAAAUGCGUAGAGAUCUGGAGGAAUACCGGUGGCGAAGGCGGCCCCCUGGACAAAGACUGACGCUCAGGUGCGAAAGCGUGUGGAGCAAACAGGAUUAGAUACCCUGGUAGUCCACGCCGUAAACGAUGUCGACUUGGAGGUUGUGCCCUUGAGGCGUGGCUUCCGGAGCUAACGCGUUAA
rnacentral:rRNA from 1 species